UGUUAAAUAACACAAGCCCGCACAAAUACUUGUUGCGGAAUUUAUUUUUUAUGCUGCGUAAAUUGAAUGUGAAAUGUGUGUAUAAACUAUCCAAAUGUUAAUAAACACGUGAGAAAAUGAUAACAUUCGGCGGUGGGAACAAUUCCACAGCGUUAGAAGAUACAGGGGAAGUGAGAAGUAUCUGCGAGAGUGUGUGCAGCGAUGGGUCCAGCGCGACCGUGCAGCCCGGGGGCUCCAACCAGCGGCCUCGGAUGGAUAUAGCAUGUGUUUUGGAUGUAACCCAAACAUUGAAUCUUGCUCAUAGGAAAAGAGCUCUAGAAGAAGUUCGAUUGGCAUCUGAACUGGUCAAUGCCAAUUUGCAUCAUAUACAUUUUGAAAAGCUCGACUUCGGUGAGACAAAUGUGCUGGACACGUUCUACAAUGCUGAUGUGGCACUGGUGGAUCUCAGCUUGCAGCUGCAGCAGAGUUCAUUGUUGUACCAUCUGGGAGUACGGGAAAGCUUUGACAUGAAGGAAAAUGUUCUGCUGUACAAUGAUGUUGAUGCGGACUCCACGCUCAGGCUUAAGUUAUCUCUUCCGAAUUUCCUGUUCGUGUCAUACAAACUCACGGAUGCUGGUACCUGUGUGACCACCAACCCUGCUGCUACGAAGUUCAAGGGUGAGGAUUCAGCUGAUCCCAAACAGCAUCUGACCUUGAGGUUGAGGAACAUACUUCAAGAUGUUGAGGUCCAGACGAAAGCCCACCUCCAAGAGAAAUUCCUAUCAGACUUACGGAAGGCGCGCGAAACAUACACCGGUAUCGAACUUGCAAACAUGUUACACGCUAUGCGCAGACGCCUCGACGACCCAGCAGUCCUUUCAGGAGAUACCAUACUUAACAUGCUUAUAUCCUACCGUGAAAUACAGGAUUACGAUGCCAUAGUACAUGUGGUAGACGACCUCAAAACCAUAAUGAACAGAAAAAAUUACGUCAACAUGCCUAUAAUAAGGUUCAUGUACGCCUUUGCUAUGAAUCGUCGCAAUAAAGAAGGGGACAGGGAGAAUGCUCUAAAAGUCUGCGUGAAAGCGUUAGAGAAGAAAGAGAAUAGAUUCCCCGAUAUGUUGUGCCUUUGUGGCCGUAUAUACAAGGAUAAAUUCGUCGAAUCUCAACACACGGAUAAGGAAAGCUUGGAUCAUGCUAUACAUUGGUACAGACAGGGUUUCGAAGUGCAGCCAAACGAAUAUGCGGGCAUUAAUUUGGCAACACUACUCGUUAUAGCUGGCAAUGAUUUUAAAAACUCACAGGAAUUACAGCACAUUGGAAUGGUAUUGAAUCAUCUAAUAGGCAAAAAAGGCAGUCUAUCAUCUCUCAAAGACUACUGGGACGUGGCUACCUUCUUCGAAAUAUCAGUACUGGCCCAAGACUAUGUGAAAGCGAUACAGGCAGCAGAAUGUAUGUUCAAACUCAAACCACCGAAUUGGUAUCUCAAGUCUACUAUUGGGAAUAUCGAAUUGAUUGAUAGAUUUAGGAAAAGUGAAGAUAUAUCACCAGAACAGCAAGUAUUUUCUUUCUGGAUGGAAUACUUCGUAGAGGCAACUAAAAGUGAAUGUGAAAAUAUUAUUAGGUUUCCUGUGUUAAUAUUAGAAACAACAAAAGAAUACAUACCGUCUUACGUAAAUGUGAACAUGGGUGCGGAACAAAAAUCCGUAGAAAUUCUCAACUUGUGCUUAGAAUCUAUGCGGGGCCAGUGUCGACGAGUACAUCGGUGGCUUUUCACUUCCGAUAUGAUUAGGAGCUACAGUUUAUACAAACGCGAUGAGCGUUGCCUCUUUCUGUACGUGAGCGAGAAUUCUGACGACUUUCAAAUCUUUCUGCCGUCUCAAGCGUGUCGACAGCGCUUACAUGAUCUUUUAGGAGAACUGACGGCAGACCAUGAGAAGGUCACUGAUUUGGAUACCAGUGUCAUGCAAGAUCAAUUAAAGUUCGAAUACGAGCUAGACGACAACAACAAACGCGUGGUCCUAGGCAAAGGUACCUACGGCGUAGUGUACGCCGCUCGGGACCUCAACACACAGGUCCGCAUCGCCGUCAAGGAGAUCCCCGAGCGCAACCUCGGCGACGUGCAGCCGCUGCACGAGGAGAUCCUGCUGCACUCGCAGCUGCGGCACAGGAACAUUGUGCAGUAUUUAGGUUCAAUAUCAGAAGACAACUACUUCAAAAUAUUCAUGGAGCAAGUACCUGGAGGUUCGUUGUCCGCACUGCUUCGGUCCAAGUGGGGCCCGCUCAAAGAGAAUGAAGCCACCAUAGCUUAUUAUACCAAACAAAUAUUAGAAGGAUUAAAAUACCUACACGACCAAAAAAUUGUUCACCGCGACAUAAAAGGCGACAAUGUCCUAGUGAAUACAUACAGUGGAGUUGUAAAGAUAUCGGAUUUCGGUACUUCAAAGCGUCUAGCUGGGUUGUGCCCUUCGACGGAAACUUUCGCGGGAACAUUGCAGUACAUGGCUCCUGAAGUUAUUGAUAAGGGACAGAGAGGGUAUGGAGCGCCGGCUGAUAUUUGGUCACUGGGUUGCACAGUGGUUGAAAUGGCGACGGGAAAUCCGCCGUUCAUUGAAUUAGGCUCACCUCAGGCAGCUGUUUUCAAGGUGGGUUACUACAAGAUGCACCCAGAGAUUCCAAGCGAACUAUCAGCCAAAGCAAAGAACUUUAUACUGCGAUGCUUCAUACCGGAGCCCGAACAACGUGCUACGGCCGCCGAACUGUUAGAAGAUCCCUUCUUAUGCGAAAAGAAAAAGCCUUCAAGUCGUCUUGGCAGUAAUAUGGAUUAUAGUCGGAGCAUUUCAGUGCCUGCGGACAAGGCCCGCCCAGUUACAGCUCAGAAGAAAAUAUCCGAAUCAAGCAUACCUUGUAAUCUGCCUAGCUCCCCAGAAAUCGAUACUAUGCCCAACACGCCGUCUACUGAUGAAAUGGAGGGCAGCGAUACGCUUCUAAAUCGUAGAAGUUCAUCUGGUGGCCUGCUUUCUCCAGAAGUGGAUAUGCCAAAUGCGUCUCGUUGUUCAAUAGACGGUCCCGAACACGAUGGCUUCUACCUUCUAAAGAAGGACUCUCAACGAAGACUGACCCUGUCUCGCGUAUUGGAACAAGACUCAGAGAAAAUUUGUUCCAAAUGGAUGCUCAGUAUACACCAGGACUUUGGCACUACUGUGCUUACAAUGACCCACCUCGAAAUGCUCCGCUGUGCCCUCAAAGAGUACAUAAUGGAUCAAAACAGAAGCGUCAUAGAGCAAGCUAUUAUUACUCUUAAAGAAGAACUGGACUUUGAUUCAAAUGCCAUCAAUGAGCUUCAUUCAGCCAUCUACAUGUUUCAAGAAGCUGUGAACGCAGUAUUGAGGAUGCAUAGCAUAAAACCUCAUUGGAUGUUCGCUUUGGAUAAUUUAGUUAGGAAUGCUGUUCAGGCUGCUAUUACUGUGUUGUCGCCAGAGCUAGGCGCCAACCUAGCGGGCCAGGAGGGUCGUCGCGGCGGCGCGGCGGCGGCCGACGCCACGCCCUCCGCGCUGUCCUCCGAGCACUGCGCCCGCGACGCGCAUGCGCUGCACGACCUGCGCCACGAGAACCACAAAUUACACCAAGAGCUAAUAGAAAGUUACCAGCAGAAUCAGAGUCUGCUGCGACAGAUGUUAGAAGACCAGAAAGCGCACAUGAUGUUACUUAAAGAAAUCGUCGAAAAGAAGUCGAGAAGUGUAACCCCAGAAGUAUUCUCCAGCCAAAGCGAGUUAGACGGUGACGUGACAGACGGGGUCGACGAGACCGAGGCGACAAAACUACGUGAGUGGGUGGCCGCGAGAGGGUUACCCACUGUCGUCGCUAAUGCCUUGCUGCGGCAUUGCUAUGUGUUACCUGAUCUAUUGAUGCAUGCUCAGAGGGAGGAUAUCGCCAGGUUGAAUUUGAAAGGUGGCAUCGAACUCCGACUAUGGCGAGCGAUCCAAGAACACCGCCUACACAACUCCACCCACCUCCGUCGCACAAGCAGCACAGAAACCGACAUAGACACGAAUUCCAUCGUCGUAGUCGACUGCCAACGCUGCAAGGCGAACCGUAGAACUCUCUCGAACAAUUCCACUUGUUCUAACAACCCUACCAUAGUAAUAAGAGACCAGGUGAAUGGAGACGAAACCGUUGCCGAGUACUAUGGCGAAAACGGGGUCGUCAACCUUUGACUACUGCGCGGAUGGUGCACUCUGCAAUAAGGUCUCUUUUGUCACGGCCAGGGGGUGUCAAUCUUUGGUACUACAUGUAGAUUGGUGUUUCCAUAGAUUUAGAAUUGUUCUACCGUUUGAUAGAUCGGCAAUGCGGGACAGAUAACUGUAUAUGUGGUAUGAGCCCAAAAAAUUGAUGCUCUAGACAUGGCCCCAUAUGUAUCAAACGCAAAUUUUAUCCAAAAUAUUCUAUGUUUUAAUAUAGAAUAUCGCGAAUAAAAUUUGUCGCGGGUAAAAUGUUCUACGAUCAAAAUCUAGACGCGCAACAGAUACCCAUUUUUAAGUUGAGGAAAGGAUCACAUAUUUAAUCACACAUGAAAAAGUCACUCUACUAAUCAUUUUUAAUUUCUCUGAUAAUCACUCGAUUGCCGAUAUAUCUUCUAUUCUAUGUCUAUGAGUACUACAAUGUAGAUUUUUUCAGUUAGUAGUUAUGUUGUGCUCAAUACUGAAUAGCAAUACCAUUGACUACUUGGUCGUUUUGUGUUGGUAAAAUGAUAAGCAAUUUUGAGACAAUAUCUUACCAUUAAAUUCUGCAUGUUUUAAAUGUUUGUCAGUGUAAAAGAAAUUUGAAUGAAAGAAUGUCACAAAUGUCGAAAUUGUAUGGUCAUAACAUUAGUGUGCUGUAGCAAUAAUAAAAAUUAACACAAGUAGUUUUGGAAUAUUAUAGUUGUUUACAUGUUCAAAUUGCUAUUUCUAAUAAAAAAUUGUAAUAACACCGCUUGAGGCCUAGAGUGUGUCAUCCGAAUAACAACCGUGUAAAUAUAGCUUCGUAUUUAUUAAUAUAUUGUUACUAGUCUCUGUAAAUAAUUAUAAUUUUCUUGUUGUUAAGCAUAAUAAUAAGGUACCGCUGAACGAAAAUUAAUUUUCGUAGUUUUGCACAAAACAUCGCUUAAAUGGUGCUACCGCGUUGUGAGUCGUUUAGUAACAAGUGCCUUCAAUGUGUUAUUAAAUGAAAAAAGUUAUGCAUAUUAUAAAUAUGUAAUUUAAAUAAUGACUGUCACUAAAUAGAAGAGUUUCUCAAUAUAGACCUGUAGCUUUUUUGCUUUGAUAAUUUCCCGGGAUAUUCUAUCGUACAUUAAUCACAUGAAAAAAGGACUAGUGAUGUCCAAUUAUCGAAACUUUGACUAACGCUGAUCCUUUUGUGUAAUUAAAACACCAUGUUUAAAAUGGUUGAUAGUGGAACAUGAAACGACAGCACUAAAUCAUUGUCGAUAAUUUGCACUACCAGCACUAUAAAUAAAAAUAUUGGAAGACAUCUAGAUGAAAUGUUUCAUGGAAGGUAAAAGUGACUUGUCGGUCUCAAUCUUGUGACAUUUUCAAUUAUUCAUCACCACCUGAAACAUUUCUCUUACAGCAAUUCACCUACAAGCAUUGCUUGCUAUUGCCCCACACUAAAUCGAGUAUACAACACUAUAAGAUAUACAAUAAAUAUAUAUUUAUCCUAAGAAGCUAUGUAACUUCUGAGUGCCAUACGUACAUAUUUUCUUAUAUAAUAAAACUGUAUAUUUUCUUAAGAAUAAUGUUUACUGUUAUUUACUAAAGAUUUUAUUAAAAAACUUAUCAAUAAUCAACGUGAUCUGAAAAAGCUUAAAUAUAAUAAUAAUAAUUCAGAAUUAUUAAUUAUCGCUAGUAUUACUAAGAUAUUGGGUCGGAGUUACGUAACUGAUUAAACGUAUAUAAUGUAAGUCGCAAUGGCUUCUAUAACCAAAUAUGUAAUAAUAUUCAAUGUUUAUUGUCAGUUUGUAAGGGCUAGAAGCUAAUAUAAAUGGUACUACUGUUAUUAAAAUAAAAACUAAAUCUUCGUAUGAAUGGUAAAUUUGUAUAGCAACAAUUGCUCAACAUUUUUGAUCUGCAACGAGAAUGUUGCGUCGGCCGAGAACUUGUCAACUAUUAUUAUGUAUUCUGUAACACGCAAUGUUGCCAGCAAUUUGUUGAUGCAAUUUUGAGUAUAAUCCAAAGUUUACCCUGGAGUAAUAUUUUCUAAUAUUUUGGAAAACAAUGUUUCACUUUGUGAACUAUUAAUCAAGAACCGAUUUUAAUAGUAAUUAUGUUUAAUAGUUCUAGCUCUUCAAAAACUCAAACUAAUGAUCUAUUAUCCUGCUCACAGUAUGCCAUACGCUAACGCAUAUUGUAUAGCGAUUUAACAAUACUCAGUAAUACUGUUGUGAAGUACAAAUACAAUACCUUAUAGAAAUAGAUUACAUCUGUAGUUUCAUAGGUGCAGCCAUACUGUCCUCGAUAUAUCGAUAAUCAAUCGAUAAGGUUGAAUGUAUCGAUUAAAAAGGCUGAUAGACAAUCGGUUUACGAAAUAUUUGUUUGGUUAAUGAAAAGUACUCUAAAAUGCAUGGAUUUGAAUUCUUCUACUAAUUAGAAACUAGAGGUAUAAUUUUAUGAACAUCUUUGGAAUGCGCUGGUGAUCUAAUGCUAAUGAUUGCGUUUAAAUGAGAACAGAUGGCGCUGCCUGUCUCGUUUUGCUCUAGAAAGUCUAUUAUAAACUCCAGAAACUAGAAUCAUAAUUAUGCAGUCUGAGUAAAUUGUACAAAAAAAUAAUGUCUGCCUUGAAUGCUUUUGUGGGUAGACUCACGAUAAUCAAUUGAAGCUGUAACUAGCCAUAGUAGCUUUUACCUAAUUAUGUAGCGGAGGGAAGAAAUAAAAAAAAAUAUAGUC
rnacentral:misc_RNA from 1 species